CUUAUCACUUUGCACGACCAAGACUCUGAAAAACAGAGAGAAAAGAAAACCAAAAACCAUUUCUUGGCUGGUUUGAAGAAAUUCUAAGGAGAUCCAAGUGAAAUCAAAGCCAAAAAGUGGAUUAAGCUUUGUUCUAGCCUUUUUAUGGAUAAUCACAUCAACACCUAAGACACCACUUGUUACACGGUGAAUUAUAUUUUGGACAGAAGGUAGAGAAAGAAAUGAGUGAAUGACAUAAGGAGAACUGAAGCAUGGUCCUGGCCCUGAAUUGUACAUAUGAACAUAUCGACCUUUUUGUGGGUUAUUUCAGUUAUCAGUGUGAUGUUUGUAAUAAAGUGUGAAGUUAUGUUUUGAAAACAUAUUUGGUUAUUUAAUACUUAUGUAUAAUAAG